GAGCACGUGGGCACCCACGGGACCACCUUGGCCACCCACGGGACCACCUCCUCCGAGUCCAUCUUCACCUAUGGGAGCACUUCUCAGGAGCACGUGGCCACCCAUGGGACCACCUUGGCCACCCACGGGACCACGUCCUCUGAAUCCAUCUUCACCUAUGGGAGCACUUCGUACGGGCAUGGGGGCACCCAUGGGACCACCCCCUCCGAGCCCACCUUCCCCUAUGGGAGCACCUCGUCCGAGCACGUGGCCACCCAUGGGACCACCUCCCCUGAGCCCAUCUUCAUGUACGGGACCACCCCACACGAGCCCGUGGCCACCCAUGGGACCACCACCUCCGAGCCCACCCCCACGUCCAGGAGCACCCCACACGAGCCCACCCACGGGACCGUCUCGCCCCGCUCCAUGCCCAUGGGUGGGGGCAUCUCCUGUGAGCACCCAGCACCCGCUGGGACCGCGUCGCCCAUGGGUGGCUGCUUCUCCUACAAGGAGGUGGCCCUGGGUGCAGGAUUCUGGCAGGAGCCCCGUGGGUGCGGGGCCGUGGGCAGGAGCAUCUCGCACGAGCACGCGCCCACCUUCGGGACCAUCGCGCCCAAAUCCGUGCCCACCCAUGGGACCACGUCAUGGGCGCGCGUCCCAGCGGAUGGAAGCACCUGGAGCAAGCCCGCGCCCCCAGCCGGGACCACGUUGAGCAAGGCCUCGCCCGUGGGUGACACCAACGUGUGGGAGCGUGGCCCAGGCGGGAACACCCCGACCGUGGCGUGGGAGCCUCCUCCAGCGGGUGGCACCGCGGUGACCAAGGCCAUGCCCAAGGACGACGCCGGCUCAUGGGAGCGCGUCCCAACCCAUGGCACCGCCUGCGCCAAGUCAGUGCCCGCGGAUGGCGCCAUGGCAUGGGGGCACGUCCCAGCCGAUGGCACCACCUUGACCACGUCCAUGCCCACGGGUGGCACCAUCUCCACCAAAUCCACGCCGAUGGACGGCACCACGGUGACCGAGCCUGUUCCCAAGGAGGACACCAGCCCGUGGGAGCACGUCCCAACCGAUGGGACCAUGUUGACCAAGUCAACGCCCACAGAUGGGAACACCUCAACCAAGGCCGUACCCAUGGGUGGCACAAUCUCGUGGGAGCACGACCCAACCCGUGGGACCACCUUGACCACGUCCGUGGCCGUGGAUUGGAGAACCUGGCCUGAUUCCACCCCCACGGACGGAAGCGUCUCACCCAAGCCCAUGGACGGGACCUCCUGGCCCAACCCCGUGGCCGUGGACGGGGCCUUCUCCCCCAAGCCCGUGGAUGCGACCGCCUCACCCAAGCCCACCCCCGCGGAUGCCACCACCCCCCGGGCCCCCGCGCCCACCGCUGCCACCAUCUCACCCCGUCCCCCGGUCCCCAAACGGAGCGAGGAGGAGGAAGAGGAGGAGGAAGAGGAGGAGGAGGA
rnacentral:lncRNA from 1 species